GAUGAACGCUGGCGGCGUGCCUAAUACAUGCAAGUCGAGCGAACAUACUAGUAGCUUGCUCCUCUGACGUUAGCGGCGUACGGGUGAGUAACACGUGGUUCACUUACCUAUAAGACUGGGUUAACUUCGGGAAACCGGUGCUACUUCCUGUUUAUAUUUUCAUCCUCAUGUUUCAAUAGUUACAGACGGUUUUGCUGUCCCUUCUCGAUGUUACCGCGCCGCUUUAGUUAGUUCGUAAGGUAACGGCUUACCAAGGCAACGAUGCGUAGCCGAUCUGCGAGGGGGAUCGGCCACACUGGAACUGAGACAAGGUCCAGACUCCAACGGGAGGCAGCGGUAGGGAAAGUAACGCAAUGGGCGAAAGCAUGACGGAGCAAAGCCGCGUGAGGGAUGAAGGUCUUCGGAUAGUAAAACUCUAUUAUUAGGGAAGAACAAAUGUGUAAGUAACGAUGCACGUCUUGACGGUACCUAAUCAGAAAGCCACGGCUAACUACGUG
rnacentral:rRNA from 1 species